rnacentral:rRNA from 1 species
GACGAACGCUGGCGGCGUGCCUAACACAUGCAAGUCGAACGGGGUGAUUCCUUCGGGGAUCACUUAGUGGCGAACGGGUGAGUAACGCGUGAGGAACCUGCCUUUCAGUGGGGGACAACAGUUGGAAACGACUGCUAAUACCGCAUAAGCGCACAGGGUCGCAUGACCUGGUGUGAAAAGUUUUUCGGNGUAAGAUGGACUCGCGUCUGAUUAGCUAGUUGGUGAGGUAACGGCCCACCAAGGCAACGAUCAGUAGCCGACUUGAGAGAGUGAUCGGCCACAUUGGGACUGAGACACGGCCCAAACUCCUACGGAGGCAGCAGUGGGGAAUAUUGCACAAUGGGGGAAACCCUGAUGCAGCGACGCCGCGUGAGCGAAGAAGUAUUUCGGUAUGUAAAGCUCUAUCAGCAAGGAAGAUAAUGACGGUACUUGACUAAGAAGCCCCGG